UCUAUCACCUCAGGCAUGCAGGUACCUCCUCCAACAACUGUCAUCUCAGGGAUGCAGGUACCUCCUCCAACAACUGUCAUCUCAGGGAUGCAGGUACCUCCUCCAACAAUUGUCAUCUCAGGGAUGCAGGGCUGUGGAUACCUCCUCCAACCUCCAUCACCAAAGCUUCAAGAGCACCACCCCGAAGAGCGUAUGAUGGGAAACCAGCUCUGUAUUUUCAACUCUACCCUUUAGUUUAAUCACUCCAGAUUCAGAUUUGCCAGGAACUUCUAAGUCACGAGUGAAGAAAAGGAACCUGAAAUACAAUCAAAAUGUAACAGUAUUCUGUAUCUAUAAAUGUU